rnacentral:rRNA from 1 species
GUGGGGAAUAUUGCACAAUGGGGGAAACCCUGAUGCAGCAACGCCGCGUGAAGGAUGACGGUUUUCGGAUUGUAAACUUCUUUUCUUAGUGACGAAGACAGUGACGGUAGCUAAGGAAUAAGCAUCGGCUAACUACGUGCCAGCAGCCGCGGUAAUACGUAGGAUGCAAGCGUUAUCCGGAUUUACUGGGUGUAAAGGGAGCGCAGGCGGGACUGCAAGUUGGAUGUGAAAUACCGUGGCUUAACCACGGAACUGCAUCCAAAACUGUAGUUCUUGAGUGAAGUAGAGGCAAGCGGAAUUUCGAGUGUAGCGGUGAAAUGCGUAGAUAUUCGGAGGAACACCAGUGGCGAAGGCGGCUUGCUGGGCUUUAACUGACGCUGAGGCUCGAAAGUGUGGGGAGCAAACAGGAUUAGAUACCCUGGUAGUCC